rnacentral:rRNA from 1 species
CCUACGGGAGGCAGCAGGCACGCAAAUUACCCACUGGCCGAAGGCCGAGGUAGUGACGAAAAAUAACGAUACCGGACUCAUCCGAGGCCCGGUAAUCGGAAUGAGUACACUUUAAAUCCUUUAACGAGGAACAAUUGGAGGGCAAGUCUGGUGCCAGCAGCCGCGGUAAUA